rnacentral:rRNA from 1 species
AGCAGCCGCGGUAAUUCCAGCUCCAAUAGCGUAUAUUAAAGUUGUUGCAGUUAAAAAGCUCGUAGUUGAAUUUCGGGGUCAGUAGAUUGGUCAUGCCUCCGGUAUGUACUGGUCUUACUGGCUCCUCCUUCCUGAUGAACCGUAAUGCCAUUAAUUUGGUGUUGCGGGGAGACUGGACUGUUACUUUGAAAAAAUUAGAGUGUUUAAAGCAGGCUAACGCUUGAAUACAUUAGCAUGGAAUAAUGAAAUAGGACGUUCGAUCUUAUUUUGUUGGUUUCUAAGAUUGACGUAAUGAUUAAUAGGGAUAGUUGGGGGCAUUAGUAUUCAAUUGUCAGAGGUGAAAUUCUUGGAUUUAUUGAAGACUAACUACUGCGAAAGCAUUUGCCAAGGAUGUUUUCAUUAAUCAAGAACGAAAGUUAGGGGAUCGAAGACGAUCAGAUACCGUCGUAGUCUUAACCAUAAACUAUGCCGACUAGGGAUCGGAUGAUGUUUAAUUUUUAAUGUACUC